UGGCCAUACGGGAGAGAUGACCAAUCGAAUUAUUUUUGGCAUGCAUAGCUAGAUGGCUCUACAAUGCAGUCAGUACACCGCAAGCCACGCUCAGGAACACAGUGCGACGACGCUGCUGCGCGUAUUUAUGUUAAAAAAAGCCAAAUAAGUAUCAGAGAAAAGCCAUAGCCACUCGUGGUUGUUGGAGUGAAGAUUCACUAAAAAAAAUGGUUAAACCCAAAAAUAAGAAGACUGAUACAAAUAUGAAUAGAAAACGGAAAGCUGUAAGGCGUAUUAGCGAAAGCAGUUCUGAUCUCAGUGAAUCAGAAUUGUGUGAUACAUCUGACGAAGAACAUAAAGAAAACGAAGCAGAUAACUGCGCUGGAAUCGGAGAAAAUUAUUAUAAGACUCGUAUUCUGGAAGAGUGGCUCCAGUGUCUUAUUUGUGACUCAUCAAACUUCAGUCACAUCAAACGGUACAGUUUUCAUGUACCCACCGUACAUGAAAACUGUACCGAGUUUGAUGAUAUAUGCUCCAAAUGUGAACAGAAGAAGAAAAAAGAAGCUAAACAAGCCGAAUUUCAGAGCAAGGGAAAGGGUAAAGGGAAGUCAAGUACUGGUCAUCUAUCCCGUAUAGCUAUGGCCAACUUACCCUGAAGCCUCGGGAGAGAUGGCCAAUUCUAUUUUUAUUUUUAAAUUGUUUUUUAAUAUGUUUUUGAACUAUAAAAAAAUAUUUGUCAUUGAUUUUUACAAGACUAAUUACUGUUAAUUAUGAUAAGAAUAAAAGACUGAUUGUAACCACA